UACAGAGGUCUCGAGCGUUAGGCGGAAUCACUGGGCUUAAAGCGUGUGUAGGCGGGUCGGUAAGUGUCUUGUGAAAUCCCAUGGCUUAACCAUGGAACUGCUGGGCAUACUGCCGAUCUUGUGCAACCUAGGGGCGAGCGGAACAGAUGGUGGAGCGGUGAAAUGCGUAGAUAUCAUCUGGAACGCCAAUGG
rnacentral:rRNA from 1 species